GCUGUUUUUUGGCAAGGAAGCAGCUCAACUUCCACACCUGCAGUGGGUGCUUUGCUUCUGAUGUUCCUGUCAGACUCCCCAUUGCAAAAAGGCCUCAAAUGUCAUGAAAGUGAAGGGUAUUCAGGGACAGUGAUAACCCACAGCAGCUUUGGUCAUUUCUGGUGCUCUAUAAAGGGCUACAAGAUAUGUUAUUCCCUGGAAAGCAGCUCUUAGGAAUGUUUGUUACCUCUAGCCAGUCAAAACCUUCCAUGGAGAACUUGGCAAUCAGUGCUCCACCCCUUAGAAAUGAUGCAGAGAAGGCUGUGAAGGCUCACCAGGCCUUUAUUCACCUGCUAUGGAUGAUCCAACAGAUGGAAUUAUGUCUUUUCCACAGACUUUUGAAAGAACUUGUGGUGAGUUUAAAGAGAUCUAAUAAAAUCUCGCCUGAUAAUGCGGUUCCCAAUACAGCCCUGAACCAUUUCUGGAGUAAGUCUCAGCCUUCCUGAAGUUCCUCUAUGAUCCCUGCACAUCAUAUGACAAGUGCAUUGCUAAUUAACAGCAACUCAUUCUUGGAAACUGCUCCCAGAGGGUUUCAUCCCUGUUUAAUGAUCAGCCAGGAGGUUCAGCAGCAGAGGCCCUGGAGCAGCUGCCUCAGGAAUGCUCUGGCUGCACGGAUCCUGCUUUGGCAGCAGAGACCACGGGAGGACAGGUUGUCUUUCAACAAGCCUGAGCACUCCAGAGCAAAAGCUGGAGGUGGUGAAUAGGCAGAACAGUGCCAGCAGCAAAGAAAUCUCCGUGUUUCCUCCAGUGUCACAUCAGACUACACGGGACAAGGGGAGAAGUCACCCGCUACCCGGACUCUGUCAGAUCAGUGGCUUGUUCCAUUUGGGACUUCCCCUGAACUCCCUUCCCUCUUUAUUUUCAUUCUUUUCCCCUUCUGCACCAUCUUCAGAGCUGUCUGUCACACUGGCCUCUCCCAACCUGUGCAGAUGCACAGAGCUUUUCCAGCUCAACAGCAGAAGCUCGAUGUGGAAACAUCCUGACAUUGCCGACUCACCGGAUCAGGAGCAUUUUGUCUGAAACGAGCAGCUUCAGUGAGCUUAUUAUCCACCCCAGUGCACAGGACACAGGGAAGGACCUGGGUCAGACUCACAGCACAUUCCCUGGAGCUGGUGUCCUCGUGGGCUUGCAGCCCAGAGAUCUACAACUAACUGGAAAAUCCUAACAACUCCAGUACCACCUGGAGCACAGCUGCAGGAAUUCCCACCUCAGGGGUCUGGCCUGAAGUAGAGUUUGCUGUGGAUGCAUCCAAGUCAUAACAUGUGUUGGCAGGUGAUCUGUGGGACACGUUGAACCCUUGCACAAGUGUCUGAUGCUGGAUUUAUCUACAGGAGAAUGAAGCCCCACAAAAGUUCUUCCCGGAGAAAAGCCCCCCGGGCAGUGCUGAGUGGAGGUGGAGACCGGGGCGGCCCAACACAAAGGUUUCAAAAGGACGGGAUGCCGGCAUCCUGGAAGGAAAAACAAAACCCGGGGGACGUUUCCUCCUCAUCCGUGAAAAGGUAUUUGGGGCUGGGAGAGCCUCUUUUCUCUCCUCUUUGUCUGCGGCUGAAGAGGGGCUGGGGCUCAGUCCUGAGUUCCUUUGCUGGGGAAGGAGCUGGAAUUGCUUUUCCAGAUGGAUUGCCCGGCAGCAUCCCCAGGCACCCUGGGAAUGAGGAGACUUUAUGGAGCCCUUCGUGGCUCUUUUGUUUACGUGCCCUGGGCUCAGAGUCACUCGGAGAAGGGCCAGGACAUCGACACAGCCCUGCUGGGUCCCUAACACGGGAAGAAUUCCAGGUGCCCUUGCAAAGCCGGUGUCAUUCCCAUUUUGGCACUUCUUUGGAUGGGUAAACACUUGGCUCAGAUUUCUCCCACACCAGGUCAUGGGUUCUGGGAGAAAGCACAGUGUUUGCUUUGAGGAAGAGCUUUAAUGUUCAAAUCCAUUAGGAUAUAGAGUGGCAGGAAGGAGAGAUGUGGUAGAAGAGAAGGGGAGGAAGGUUUUUACCAGCAGACAGUGGUUUCCUCUGCUGCUGGGCCUGGUGGAGAGGACACACUGAGAGGUUCCCCCAGAAAGCCAUAAAUGAAGUCCUGCUGUGGGGGCCUGUUGAGGAUUUUCUCCAAAGAGAACUGGAAUAUUUUCCUUCUGGUGAACCACAAGAGAAUGUUACUACAUCCUGUGCCUUGCAUGGCUUAAAAAUAGAAGGAGGAAAGGAAUGACUGGUUAACUGUUUGACCUCAGUUUGGGGGGGGAAAAGCCUCCCAAGAAACCUCAGGGACUCACCCCAUUAAGCAUACAGGAAAAUGUCACAGAUCUGGCACCUUAAUUAUAUGCUAAUGACAUCCUACCAGGAGGAAAAGCUUCAGAUGUCUGCAAGAAAAAUACCUGACUGAGAGGGGCUGUGUGUGCUCACAGAGCCCUUUCUGACAACCAUUCCCUCUCUCUUUUUGUCUUUUUUUUUUUUUUUUUAGCAUUUGAAAAACAAAAGAAAACAAAAAAGCAGGCUGAAGAACUAGGUGAACCUUUGACAUUUGUGUUUGAUUUUCAGCCCCUGAGCAUGAACUGAAAACAAAACAAAUCCUGCUGCAGAGAGGUUUGUCAAACGUGCAGACUUUCAAUGACCCUUCUGUUCAGAAUAUUUUUCUGAUUCACUUUUAGCUAAAGUUGCAAAUGGUCUUUACCCAUCACCUUCUGGUGAACUUGUCUGCAAAAUACCUGUUAUUUUCCUAUAAAUUUAUUUGCUUCACAUGGAUUAAAAAAAAUUGGUUAAUAUAAACACUUAGUAAAUUUAAUGGAAGUAUACCCAGAUAUGCAAUCCACGUAUCUGUUAGGAAUUUUUUUUACUUACUUGUUCAUUCAAAUUAUUCUUUUCCAGGGACUUUGCAUUACACCUGAAUGCUUGGAGAGCCCUCUACCCAGGGCAGGAGCUAAUGUGACACCUACGUGGACAGUUUUACUAACUCAGAUUUACAUUCAUUCACAUGUGGUACAUUUAUGGGGACUAAAAUUAUACAAAAACCAAACAAAACCCAACCAAUCAACAACAACAACAACAAAAAUCUAAAAAACCCAACAACAACAAAAACAAACCACAAAAACAGCCCAGGAAGGACAUUUGAAUAUUCAUGGACAAAACCAAACCAAACCAAACAAAAAAAAACCAAACCAACAAACAAAAACACAAAAAACCCAAAAUCUGAAAAACAAAAAAAAAAACCACAAAGAAACCAAACCAAAACAAAAUAAAACCAAAACCCAACCAAACCAACAAAACCCAAGCCAAACAAAAGCCAAACAAACGGGGGAAAAAAGAGAGAGGAAGAGGAAAAGCCUCCAUUAUUGUGAAGGUAAUCUCAAAAAUAGUGAUAGAAAAGUUGCUUUGACAGUAACAAAAUUAUGGAGGCUGAGAAUGUGAGACUGUAAAAUGUGACAAUCCCUUUAGGUUUUAUCUAAGAUUUGGGAAACAGCCCUGAUACUUGUAGAAUAAACAGAGGUUUGUUUUCUCCUGGAGGACAUAAAUUGGGUUAGCUAGAUUUAAUUUAUUAAUUGAAUGUAAAAAAAAAAUGUUCUGUUUAAAUUAUACUAAAAAUAGCAGCCUUGUGUGUGUCCCUGGGAUGAGCAGUCAUGGGAUACAUCAGGAUGGUUUUCAGGAGACACAGAAAGGAAUCAGCUGAAGUCAACAAGAGUUUUUUUCUUUGCUGCUGAAAGAUGUGCUGUUUGCUUUGAUAUAACCAACCAUGGGGGCCAGGCAGAAGAAAAACCCCAUCAAAGCUCCAAAGCUUUGCUUUGAGAUAAAUUUGCCAGAUCCUUCUGUCACUGGGGUUCAUCUCAGCAGGUUGGUUUGAGGAUAAAACAAAAGGACUGGGCUCCUCUUUUUUGAUACUUCUCAAGGCUGUUCGUUUUUGUCCGGCAAAAGGUUCUCCUUUUGUACCUUCACAUCUUUGAGCAAUGAAACCAUCCCAGUCUGGGAUGAAGAUUCCCCUUUUGUACCUUCACAUAUCUGAGCAGUGAAACCAGCCCAGUCGGGGAUGGUUUAGUGAUGUGAUUUGCUGAACGAAAGGCUCUUGGAGGUGCCAUCCUCUGCUCUGCAUCACUUCUGGCUGCCCCUGCUCCGUCUCUGUUCCUUGGCUUGGGGGUGGGAUGCAAAUGCCAUUUGCAGUGCUAUGCAGAGCCAUGUAUUUUCACAUCUAGAGGUGCAUUCCUGUCCCGAUUUAGAGCUAAGCAGCUCAAGGACAGGUAAAAGGGAUGAAAAGGUGUUUCUGGGGUGAGGACACAUGGUGCCAGCAGCCCUGCUGGGUCAGCCAAGCAUGCCAGAGGUCAAGCUGGCAAUUAGACAUUUGCUCUGUGAAGUUCAUCAUCAGAAAUGCACCACUUUCCAAAAGAAACAUUUCCAUGUGUUACUGACCCCUCACAGACCUCACAGCAAGUUUCUCUGCCUGCUCAAGCAUGUGAGGGCAGGUUCUUCCUGCUGCCUCCAUCCCAGGUGAGGAGAUGGGGCCCUCCCUCCUUGUAGGAAUUAUCUGAUGAUCCUUUUAGCAGUUAAUGGGGAGGAUCUGUACAAACAGAGCCAUCCCACCCUCAGCAUGGCUGUCUCCAGCUGAGGCUCCUGCUUCCAGAGUGGGCUACAAGCAGCCACGAGCCAUUCCUGGGAUCCACAGUAAUGCUCGGCAGGAGCUUAGAUGGGCAAAUGGGGUCAGGGAAGUUCUCCCAAAGCCUCUGCUGGACACUUCAUCUCCCACAGCAGCACGAAAGGCAUGACUCCUCACUCACCUCUGCUCCAUGGAGCUGCUAACUCCUUCCAGAUGAGUGUUGUUUAUUUAGCUUAUUGAUUAAACCAGUUGCUGCCUCUAACAGGAACCUCACAUUUUCCAGAGAGACAGAUAUGAAACAUUAAAACUGGUGAUCAUUCCCCUCUACCCCCCCUUUCCAGAGAGUAUAGCUGCUCCUUGUGAUGAGGGGCUGGGCAGCUACAGAACCAGGAGCCUGAGGAAGAAAUGAAAGCAAGUUCUCCUUGAGAGAAACUUCUAGAGCUUGGGUGGCUGUUUUGUUUGGUUUUGUUUGGGGUUUUUUUAGCCUAAAAAUAUUAAUUUCCUUCAGUAUGAAAACUGAGAUGCCAUCAGCUUGACUUAUAAGAAUCUUUAGAUUAACUUGCCAUGCUGAUGCACUGAACAAAGGGCUUUGGGUUUGAAUAGAGGAGGAUGGAGACUGUGGGCCACAAACCCAAACAUAAAGUGUAAAAGCUCCAGGAUUUCUUAUGGAAUGGUGUCUCUGGUCCCCACUCCCUUUGCUGAUGCUGCAGCAGCUCCAGCUGCUCCAUGUGCCCCAUCACACCCACCCCAGAGGAGGUCUGGCACGUGCUGCGGUUCCUCUGGGGCCAGAGCAGAUAAUAAUGUCCUUCUGCCCACUUUUCCCUCGGUAGGACACUGUCUGUCAUUUCCUCACCGUGCUGCUGAGCUUCACAAAGCCCUCAGUUACCUCUUCCCCCUCCCUGAAACUUGGCUGAACUGCCCAUCAAAAGCUGCUGCAGGGAGAGAGGAACCACCAGGCAGCCAGGCAAGCCCGUCUCCAUCAGUAAAAACCAAUAAAUCACACAGGAGGACGUGGGACACGUUCAAAGACCAGCUUUAGGUGGCUCAAACCCACGUGACAAGGCAGUGCCACCAGCUUUCCUGAGCACUGCUGAGGGGGCUCCUGGGCAGCAACCACCCCUUGGCUGUUAAACUUCCAGAGGGAGGCCCUGGAGCUGCUGCAGACAAAAGCUGGAGCAUCCUGGAAGGAAACUGCCUUCUUGUUCCCUCCUGCUAGGGAGUUAACCCCGGGGAGCAUCCAGCUGAAAGCUGUACAUGUGGAACACGCUCCCUUUCUGCUAAGAAAACAUCCAAGGGAGGGCGUUUUUCCUGCAGCUGGGAGAAAUUCCAGCAGCCUGCUGGAACCUGAUGGCUGUGAUACACAGAAGAUCCCAGAGGAAGGGAUGUGCUGGUGUCCCUGCUGACUGACACGUGGCACUCCACUGCACAUUCCCUCGGGCUCCUCUGCGUUUCCUCUCCAAGAUUUCUUGCCACAGCAAGUACAGAGACAGCAGGCAAUUAUUUUGCUGGGAGAUGCCAAUUUAUCUGUAAUGCAUCUAAUUCUCUGAUUGUCCUCAUUUCUUUUUUCUCCAGGAAGGAAGGAAGGGAGUUACAGCUGUGCUGGAAACCAGAGUGCAUGAAGUGAUUGAAUCAGUGAGCAGUGAAAAGUUCACUUCAGCAAAAGACUCAGGGUUUGAUCUUCCUUCCUCUGCCACCACUGGCAAUAUCCCCACUAAUUCCAGUGGAAGCAGGAGCAGAGCUUCAGAGCUGACACCUCAAACAGCACUAAGUUAUCAGCCUGAGAAAACAGGAAUGAGGCCCAGUGGAAAACCAGACUUACCCGUCCAGGCUUAGGGGAGAAAAACACGUGGCUUAACCUAAGAAAGCAGAGAGAGGUAAAGAAAUGCCCUGCACUGCUCAUGCUGCUGAAAUUAGGGAAGUUCCAUUCAAGUUUCACACAGCAUAUUUGGAAAUUUUGGCACUUUUUGUUGAUGGUCCUGCAGUUUGCUCAAAACCAGGAGCACAGAGACAGUCACGGCAAUAAAUAUGGAAUCAUAGAAUCCCAGAAUGGCCUGGAAGGGGUUGGAAGGGACUUUAAAGCUCAUCUCAUUCCACCCCUGCCAUGGGCAGGGACACCUUCCACUAGCCCAGGUUGCUCCAAUCUGGCCUUGGACACUUCCAGGGAUCCAGGGCCAGCCACAGCUUCUCUGGGCAAUGUGUGCCAGGCUCUCCCCAUCCUCCCAGCCAAGAAUUCCUUCCCAAUAUCCCAUCUAACCCUGUGCUUUGUCCAUGUGAAUCCAUUCCCCCUUGUCCUGUCCCUCCAUCUCUUGUCCCCAGUCCCUCUCCAGCUCUCCUGGAGCCCCUGGAAGGGGCUCUCAGCUCUCCCUGGAGCCUUCUCUUCUCCAGGUGAACCCCCCCAGCUCUCCCAGCCUGGCUCCAGAGCAGAGGGGCUCCAGCCCUGGCAGCAUCUCUGGGGCCUCCUCUGGACUCUCUCCAGCAGCUCCAUGUCUUUGUGCUGUUGUUCCCCAGGGCUGGAGGCAGCUCUGCAGGAAAACAAACCAAAGCAAUCUUCAAGGAGAAGGAUGUGAUCAUCCCUCAGAUAAUCCUGUCCUAUGUCACCAGGGCAGUCAGAUAAUUCUCUUAAGGGGAAAAGGCAGCAGAGUUCCUAUGGCUCCUGCUACAAAUAUCCUGUAGUCUAUUGAGAAACAAAAGAUGAAGCAGAAACCAGGAGAUCCAGUAUCUCCUCCCAGUGUGGUGGCAGCCACUUGCUCAGUUGGAUGUUCAAGAUGUAAAAUCUUCUGGGAAACAGACUGAUUUUCCUGGCAUUUAAGGUAUUUGGGGUUUGUGUUUCCUGUGCUGUCUGGGUUAGAUAACAACCCCAUCUCAGACUUGUCCUUGCUGCUCUCUGCUGCUCUGCUCUGAGCCCUGGCAGGGGGGUGUGUUUCUGUGUUCCCCGAUCGGAUUUACAAACACCACGUUGUUUACUAAACUUUUCAAGCGGUCUUUCCUCCUGCCAGCGUGGAAAUGGAACUGCCUCACCUGAAUGGCAGACCCACAGAGCCUUGAGCUAUUUAUUUGUGGGCCCGUUCCUUGCUGAUUCCAAGGCUUUUCCUCUUGGCUUGGUGGAACCUUCUGUUGUUAGGUGUGUUUUACCCCUGGAUUUGACAACAGCAAGUCCCAAGGGGUUUCUUUGGCUUGGGCCAGUAACUCUGCAAAGGCAGAACAGUCUGAAGGAUGUCACUGGUGCAUGCUGCAAACCUGCAAAGAGUUGGGUCCCCACUGAGAAGCACAUCCAGCAUCCCAAACAGGGUGUGGACCUUCACCAGGGGCAGAGGCAGCCCCCAGACAGGAGUGGUGCUGGUGACAAGGGCCUGAGGAGGUCACAGCUCUUGGUAGGCAGGAUGUCUGUGCUCACCUGGUCCCUGAGGGCCCACAAAACCCCUGGACAGCAGAGCAGGUUGGGUUUUUGAAAUUCCCUCAAAUGCCAAGGAGUCUUGUUUGGCCAGAAGAGGGACUAUGUUUAAAAUGUCUCUCAAAGCUCCUGGCUGAGCCACAGGAGCUUCAAAAGGGUGAGUGAGAACUUGCCACCAAGAUUCUUUCAGGACUGAUAACAAAGACAACCAUCAGUUUAAACCUCACUGGCCAGUGCUUUGUCGAGGAGAAGUGCCCUGAUGGGAGUCUGGCCCCACCACCUUUGGGUGGUUAUUCUGCUGAAUAAAGCCUUUGGGACUCACCAACAGUGCAGCCAAAACCCCCUCCAGACCAGAAAAGGGGUUUGCAAGUGGUGUCCCUGAGCCCUGCUCCAGCCCCCCGGGAAUGGGUUUGUCCCCAGCAAGGGGCUUGAUGACACCCUGGGGGUUAAUGAGAGCCCGGGACAGAUGGAAUAAACAGCCUGGGAUUUACCAGCAGCCUGUAAACAAGGACUUUCACAGCUAAGCCCCCCAGCCCCCUAUAUUGCCUGGGGUUGGGGAGGGGGGAGAUGCUUUAAGAAAAGGCUUCUGGCAGCAGCAGCCAGGGAGAGCUUGUGAGUUUGCAAAUUGCUUCCAAGCCUUGUUAAUCUCUGCUCAAAUACGAAGCUUUGUAAGCUUAUCCCUCCUUUCUCACCAGCGGCUCUCAGGAAAGCCCCGCCGGCCUGGAUAAUGCGGAGCUUUACUUAGGCGAGGCUUAAAGGACAGCCAGGGAAACCAGCCCUGAGUGUCAGAGAGCCCUCAGUUUUCAGGAGUUCCCCGUAAAUCCAGCGUUCCCCUCGGGAUGUUUGAUGCUCCCAGCUGGAAAGGAGGAUGCUGAAAUUGGGGAUUUGAAACAGAAAUGCAGAAAACAAUUGAAAUGUGAACAAUGCAGAGCCCGCUGUUGCUCAUACAGGAAUCACUUCGUGAAGUCACUGUGUCCCGGGGUGUUUUUAAAUAGAUCUUCAGUGGGUAGAUGUUUUGGUUCUCUCAGGGGCUGUCUGAGAUUCACUAGCAGUGUUAAUUAGCUAGUGCUGAACGAUGUGCAGUUUGCCAGUCGAAAUUUAGGCUGUGGGCUCCUUUUCUGGAGUAUCACAAGUGCCACUGAACACUGAAUUAUGGUCUAUUUAUACAAUCUUUAAAUAGGCGAGUUUUCAUGUUUUCGACCCCACUCUGCUUUGUAAAGAUAAGUUUAAUGGGUUUAGUUUCUGACAAAUCAGGGAAAUUUGCUUCUCAGUCAGGCUCCAAUGAGUGGUUGUUAUGUUUUAUUACUUCUGUAACAUCCUAUAGACCAGAAACAAAAGACAGAUGUGAGUCCCCGUCUACUCUCAAGAUCAGAAUAAUCUGCUUUUUUUAGGAUUUGGGAUUUUUUUUCAUAGAAAGCAUCACAGUAAUAAGAGCACAUCACUCCCCAGGAACCUCAGGCAAGUAACAGAUGAGAGUCCUACAAGGUCCUUUGUGGCUCUGCCUUAACAGUUUUGAGAAUUUAUUCCACAAAUCCACCUCCUACUUCCCAGUGGCAAAGCAGAGCAGAGUUUCCAGCCAACCUGCAAAUUCAUCUUGAGGAGAAAAGAGGGGAAGAAAGGAAGGCAAAACCCCGCAGCACUAAGUGGUGAAAACCCAGAGUCCUGAGUGAGCGGAGUGAGCUGGAAAAUCCUUCUCGGCGCUGCUGAGCAGCAGUGACAUCCCUGAUGGAGAUGUGCCCUCUCCUGGCGGCCACGGGAAAGCCUGGAGGGACACCAAAGUGAGGAGGUUUGGGAGCCUGUGCCACUCUGCUGAAAUAUUAGUGGGAUAAUAAAUGAGAGGCCUGGUUGGGAUGGAUUGACAGACAACACUCCAACUUCUGCUCCCUGACUAAGCCAAACAGUUGGAAUGGUUAAAAAUCUUUAAGGAAAUAAGGCAUAUUUUGCUGUCCUUAAGACACUGUCUUGCCCUCUUCAGCAUCAUCUCCCUCUUCAAACCAUGGAUGUGAAGGAGCAUCAUGGUUUUCCAAGAGCAGCUCUCCCUGUUCCCAGCGCUGGAGCAUCUCCCAGUCCAAGCCUCUGCUGGAUUUAGUAUCCACUAAUUAAUCCUUCCAUGUGAAACACCACAAGAAACACACCUGGGCCAGAUCCUCUCCUAACAAGACCAUCCAGAGGAAAAAAAAACUGCUUGGAAAAUUAUCCUGAGGUGUUUAAAGUGAAGCAGCUCCACCAACAGAGCAGCUCCAUGUGAUAGAACACAAUGCUCCACAGAGCAGCUCCAUUCAGGAACACAAUGGCAUUUGGACAUUUCUGGCAGAGCUAAACAGUAAGUUAGAAAAGCAAAAUGCAUCUCUGUCUUUUACUUUCUUAUCUGAACCUUCUGUUUGCCACACUGAGAGAUCUGGGAAGUUUCCUCUCAGUUUAUAAAACAUUUAGAACAGAUCUUCUCUGCCAUCCCAUGUUAGCAGAAGCCCUCAGGGAUUAAGGAAAAAAAAUGCAGCUUUCACAGCAGCAGAGAGUGAAAACAAGGGGAUCUUUCCUGAUUUGUGUCCUGGCAGUAAACACAGAGCCUUGUACUAUAGAAUUGUACAGGUUUGGUCUCCUGGGUGACUGGGCUGGGCUUGAAGUUCCUGGUGCUUUAAAAGCAAACACGAUUGUGUGUUUAUUUUCAAACACUCUGCUCCUCCAGCAGUGGGUGAUAUAUUACCCCAAAGAUCAGACCAUAGAUGUUCCUGCAUUUUCCAGGCCUGGUAACAUUAUAUUUCUAACUCUGCAGACCAGAAAGAUGGCAGUGGGCAGGAGCAGCAUCUGGCUGUCCCAAAACCCCCCACUACCACCAUCAGCACAUCACCUGGGGAAGAACCUGGACAUUGAAUUACCUGCAACCUGAAGGAAAAAAAAAACAAACCAAAACAAAAAAUCCCCUGCAGGCCACAGGCACAGAGGUGAACAAUAAUAAUAAUGGGAGAAAGCUGGUGUCAUUGAAACUAUAUCAACAGUAGCUGCUUGAUACUAUUUUUACUGGAAUGCUAAAACAACUCAUUAUGCUUCCACAUCGCAACUCUUGACUCCCUCCAAGAGGAGCCAAGGGUUCAUUUCAAGUGUUUCAGUUCUUGUAGAUCGUGUGGACAUUGAGUAAAAAAAUACCUGUUGUUUU